GCGGUGGUGGUUCAGGGGUAGAGUUCUCGUUUCUCACAUGGGAGACCUGGGUUCAAUUCCCAGCCAAGGCA
rnacentral:tRNA from 1 species